rnacentral:rRNA from 1 species
CCUACGGGAGGCAGCAGUGGGGAAUAUUGGACACUGGGGGGAACCCUGAUCCAGCCAUGCCGCGUGUGUGAAGAAGGCCCUCGGGUUGUAAAGCACUUUCAGUGAGGAAGAACGCCUGGUGGUUAAUACCCAUCAGGAAAGACAUCACUCACAGAAGAAGCACCGGCUAACUCCGUGCCAGCAGCCGCGGUAAUACGGAGGGUGCGAGCGUUAAUCGGAAUUACUGGGCGUAAAGCGCGCGUAGGUGGCUUGAUAAGCCGGUUGUGAAAGCCCCGGGCUCAACCUGGGAACGGCAUCCGGAACUGUCAAGCUAGAGUGCAGGAGAGGAAGGUAGAAUUCCCGGUGUAGCGGUGAAAUGCGUAGAGAUCGGGAGGAAUACCAGUGGCGAAGGCGGCCUUCUGGACUGACACUGCCACUGAGGUGCGAAAGCGUGGGUAGCAAACAGGAUUAGAUACCCCGGUAGUC